rnacentral:rRNA from 1 species
CCUACGGGAGACUGCAGUGGGGAAUAUUGGGCAAUGGGCGCAAGCCUGACCCAGCAACGCCGCGUGAAGGAAGAAGGCUUUCGGGUUGUAAACUUCUUUUCUCAGGGACGAAGAGAGUGACGGUACCUGAGGAAUAAGCCACGGCUAACUACGUGCCAGCAGCCGCGGUAAUACGUAGGUGGCAAGCUUUAUCCGGAUUUAUUGGGUGUAAGGGGCGUGUAGGCGGGAGUGCAAGUCAGAUGUGAAAACUCAGGGCUAACCCCAGAUCCGGGAUUUGAAACUGUGUUUAUGAGUGCUGGAGAGGCAAUCGGAAUUCCGUGUGUAGCGGUGAAAUGCGUAGAUAUACGGAGGAACACCAGUGGCGAAGGCGGAUUGCUGGACAGCAACUGACGCUGAGGCGCGAAAGCGUGGGGAGCAAACAGGAUUAGAUACCCCUGUAGUC